rnacentral:rRNA from 5 species
CGGUCACCACGGUAGGAUUCAUGACUGGGGUGAAGUCGUAACAAGGUAGCCGUAUCGGAAGGUGCGGCUGGAUCACCUCCUUU